GACGAACGCUGGCGGCGUGCCUAACACAUGCAAGUCAACUUGGCUGAAGGAGCAAUCUGACAGUAGAGUGGCGCAAGGGUGCGUAACGCGUAAGUAACUUGCCCAAGGUAAGGAAUAACGUCGAGAAAUCGGCGCUAAUACCUCAUAAUGCAGCGGAUCCGCAUGGAUAUGUUGUUAAAAGGUUUAUCGCCUUGGGAUAGGCUUGCGUCUGAUUAGCUAGUUGGUGUGGUAACGGCACACCAAGGCUACGAUCAGUAACUGGUCUGAGAGGAUGAUCAGUCACACUGGAACUGAGACACGGUCCAGACUCCUACGGGAGGCAGCAGUGAGGAAUAUUGGGCAAAUGCUCGAAAGAGUGACCCAGCAACGCCGCGUGGAGGAUGAAGGUAUUCUAUAUCGUAAACUCCUGUGAGAGCAGACGAAAGACAGAUUAU
rnacentral:rRNA from 1 species